rnacentral:lncRNA from 1 species
CUGCAAGUGGGGAAGGGUCUGUGCUUGGAGGUCUCUCCCUUUUGGAGUUUUCCCUGCAAGCUGAGCUCUUUAGAGAUAGUAGCGAGGUGAAAGUAGAACCACGGGAGCUGACAGAAGCACGGUGAUGAGACAAAAAGUGUGCUGCAGUAAACACGGCUGAAGGAGAUGACAUUGACGAGAGCGAUGGGUUGCACUGAGGACGGAAGCGCAGGCAACAGCAGCAAAAAAUGCAGCAAGGGUAAAGACCUUCCCUUUGGGUACAGGAGUAAAAGCUGACAGCUGACAGGAGCGAUGCCACUGGUGGGAACAAGGACUGCCACUGGUCAAAGGAGGGUCCUUCAUGGUGCUCAGCAUGCCAGCACUCAGCUCUGCGAGCUCCUUGCACAGACUGGGGAUGAGAGGGGCUGACAUCAUUGCACCCUUAACUGCCCUUCUGGAAAGAUAAGGAGGAUUGCAGUAUUGCAUGCUGAGAUAAAAAGGAAACAGGAGGUGUGGGAAAUCAAAAGCUAUUGGUGACAGCCCCAGAAGACAGUCGCACUGCACCAGAAGACCUUGUACAAUGGGAAGUGUGAGAGCCAUCGUGCCAUUGCACUCUGUUACUCCAGCUAACAGCAUGAGGCUGACAGAAUCUUCUAGCAAUUAGCAAACCUGUUGGUGUCCAUCUUUGUGUAACACAUGAACAAAACAGGCACAGCUAUUCGGGGAGACUGGCAGGAAGGAAUAGUGGGAGGAGGACGACAAGUGGGGCACCUCUGCAGAAAUAAAACGUCAUUACAGUGUAUAUUACAAAACCAGAAUACGAAGAUUUCUAGUUUUGUGUGAAAUAACACACUGCAAUAUGAAAACUAGUAGCUAUAAAGCGUGUCAUCACCCACAUCCAACUGCUGCUAGUAGAGAAGGAACAGAGGAGGAAACAUCCGCUCCAUGUAAUCCUUGCAGCCUUCAGUACUUCUGCAAGCAGCUCCGUGUAACUUCACCCAGAUGCCACGAACAGGUCUUGUUUUGCCCAUUUUUGCCUGAAAUCCUGUGAUCACAUGGAGUCCAUGGUUUUAACCUUAUAGCUACUCACGCAGUGUAUUUGCAAUGACAUGCACAAGAUGCGCCCUUUUCACUUGAUUUUAGUGUCUUCCUGACCCUCUGAAGGCUGGAGCAGAAUUGCUCUGAAGCUGCCGAGGCUCAGCACUGAAGCUGCCCAGUACAGCCUCAUCACUUCCAGCACUGAGGCAACAUGUCCUUGUUUUUUGCCAUCCUGUUUGAUGCAUCGCCCUAGCACUGCGAUGGCAGACAUCCAGCCACGGGAAGGAGAGCCCUGAUCAAUACAUCUCUGCUGUGCAGACCUGAAUUAACUGCACCUCACUUUCCCUUGACAGAGACACAGAUCACAGGCAGCUGCAGCUUCCACUGCGAGUAACACGAAUUCUGGAAGCAUAUUCAUUACCUGGUUGUUAGAAGCAACAGAGCAUGCAGGCCUCACCCUGCCUGGGCUACCUGCAAAACCAAUGUCUCUGUUUGAUGGAGUGAGUGCCAGCCACUCACCUUCCCACUCUAACCUUCAUGUGGCAGGGCCGUGACAACUGCAUAUAGUGUCACAUCACACAACGUUUCACUGAGCCUCACAGAUAGAUGGCUUGAUUUGUUUCAUGGCCUGCUCUGUGGCAGUGUUUCCACUGCAAACCCUGGUUUAAGGACAAAAUAUAUUGGCUUUCAUAUGAAACCUAGCCAAGGAGAAGCCCGAGGAGGUCCAAAGCUCUCUGUCUGUACCCAGCUUACAGCACUUACGGCAUUCCAACCAAUUCCACCAGCUCCCACUAUUUUUUAUGUUGUAGGACUCAGGAUUUCCUAACAAUUACAGUUCCUUAACAGAACCUCCGUAGCUACUGCUUGUAUUGCUGCCCCCCCCCCCCCCCCCAAAAAAAAAAGGCAAACCCAAAACCACAAAGGACUUUCCAUCUGCUGCACAGAAAAAGCCAUGCUCCCACAGGGCACAGUUGGGUUUUUAUUCUGUUCACACUGCAGAGAUAACAGGGCUUUCCUUGUUGCCAACUCACAAGUCUCAUUUGUUGCGGUAAGGCAGACACACACAAACCUCAGCUCUCACACCAGAAAGGAAAAAUGAGACCUCUACAGUUGUAAAGAGGAACUUAAAGCGCCGUGACUUCAGUACUCACCUCCAGACAAUAAACAAGCACAGCCUCUCACUUAUUUUUAAGCCCAUCGUGGUGUGAGAAGUGGACCUCCCUUGCAAGCACUGAACAUUUAGGUUUAACACCGUGCUUGUCUUCAUGCAUCAUAGAAUCAUAUCAUAGAAUCAUAGAAAGGCCUGGGUUGAAAAGGACCACAGUGCUCAUCCAGUUCCAACCCCCUGCUAUGUGCAGGGUCGCCAACCACCAGACCAGGCUGCCCAGAGCCACAUCCAGCCUGGCCUUGAAUGCCUCCAGGGAGGCAUCACUGAUUCAUCUCACUUCCAACUGCAAACCUUUCACCAACAGGAAUACACAUGAUGCAGAUAGAGCCCAGCUUGAACUUACAGACUAUCAGGACAGGAAAAAGUCAUCCCAAGUGCCUCAUGUGUAUUUAUUUCUGUGGCAUUACUCUUCAGCAAAGGGCUGGGUUUCCAUAUAGUGAGAGGAAGGUCCACAAGUGCAGCUCAUCUGGGUUCAUUCUGACAUAACUGAUGCUGGUGCCAUUUUUGGCCCAUUAAACCACAUACAAACCCAUACAUCAGAGACAUAUUUGCACAAUGGGACCCAGAUCUGAGUUCCUAGUGAGAAGCAGCAUCACUCCUGCUCUGCUUCCCACCCCACGUGACAGCAUGGGAGAGCCCUGCUUUUCUCUCCCAGAACUCUGCUUAGGUGUCAGUGUGCCCUUUAACAGAUAAUGCAACCAUGAUGCCAUGGAAUUUUGCAUAAAUACUCAAAGCAAAGGCAGGCUGAGAAAACUGGGAGCAACAGCAAGUGCCUGAUCAAAGUGAGGUGAAGAGAAAUUGAAAAGAAGGGAUCAAAACAGAGAUACUCUGUUGCCUCAAAAGCAAUGAGAGUACUGCAAUACUUUUGCUUACUUGGAAAAGGAACACUUCCUCUAGGAGUGAAGAUUCCUGCUGUUCUGUUUCAACCUGCAAUGAGAUGGACCCAAAGCAAAAUGGGGAGGGAGAGAAGAUGUAAGGGCCUGAGGGAAAAAAAUCAAGAGGAACCAGAGCAGGAAAAUGAAAGUGGGUUUGGGGUGGCAGGGGAGCAAAGUGCAGAAACAGAGCUCUCGGUGGAGCAGAUGGUAAAGGGAGGAGGAAAGCAGAGGUGUGAGGGGAUGGUUUGAAGUUCCUGCUCCUUAUAUCUUAGAACAUGGGAGGCUUGUUUUAACUGAAAUACUGCAGCAGGCAGUCAGACCAAGGAAGCCUCCAAGUAAGCAAAUCUCCUGCUGAGAUAAAGCAGCAUGUCGGUGCUGAUGUCAGUCAGAGCACUGUUGAUACUCGUCUCCAUGAGACCUCCAGCAGCUGGGACUGAUGGGCACGCUGCCCCACCAGUGUCACAAAGCUAACGGAUGCACAUGCCUACAGCCUCGGAUGUCACACUGGCUCUAAGUCAGGUGCUCAGCCUAUCUUCACCCACUUCUCCCGACAGCAUCAUUUCCUACACAUGUGGAAGAAAGCAUUACUCUUUCCAAUCCUUAAAGGGAGCUUAUAAGCAGGAGGUAAAUCAACUUUUUACAGUUGGGGAAUGGUUUGAAACUUAAAGAGAGGAGAUGUAGAUUAGAUGGCAGGGAAGUCUUCCACUGAGAGGGCGGUGAGGUGCUGGCCCAGGCUGCCCACAGAGCUGUGGGUGCCCCAUCCUGGAGGUGCCCAAGGCCACGGAUGGGGCCCCAGGCAGCCUGAGCUGGUGCCUGGUGCAGUGUUUGGCAGCCCUGCCUAUGGCAGCGGGUGGAACUAGGCGAUCGUUGAAGUCCCUUCUGAUCGAAGCUAUUCUACUCAUACCAAAAGGCACACAAAAUGCUUCAUGUGAAGCCAUUAUCAGAAGCAAUAUGAACUACCUGAGUGGAAUUGUCUUCUGGCUCCAAGGAACUUAAAGAGAUUCUGUGCAGGGCAGGAACAGAAUAUAAACAGUUGGCAUCUGAUCUGCAUUCACCUUGACUCCCACUCUGUAGGUGCAUCCAGAGAGACAGAACAUAUCGGAUAAGUGUGAGCUGCAUUUUAUUGGAAGCUUUGUUCAACCGGCAAGAAAUCAUGUGCCAGCUCUGAGUUCAACCAUUAAUAACAGAAACAGAUUAAUUGUAAUCUCACCCACGGAAAGCUACAGGUGAACCAACACCUGCCUCCAGUUCUUCUGCAGCUAUAAUUUGUAUCCUAUUCUCCUAACUGAAG